rnacentral:lncRNA from 1 species
AAGGCUCAUCUUUCAGGCCUUAGAAUAUAAUUAUGUUAUUACCAAUGAAGAACUUCACAGAAGAAAUGUAGUAUAAGGAAGAAUUUGACUAGAAGAUGGCUGACGGGAUGAAGUAGGAAACUGUUCCAAGCAAAAGAGGUAGCAUGGAAGAAGCAUGAAGAAAAGACUGGAGAAGGACACUCAAGAGUUGGUUUCCCUCUCCACUUUCCAACAGACAAUGGAUGUAUCCUGCUCCUGAGUCCCUGACAAACAUAUAACAAAAUCAUUGGGUGAGUGAAACAUUAGCCCAAAACAAGACUUCCUUGGAAAAGUCAGAUGGAAUUUAAGAGGUGUUAAGCAACUAAGAGUGUUCUAUACAAAUUUAACGGAGUUCCUUAGAAAUUACCCUAAAACCCUAUAGAAUGUAAUACAAUAUUAUAGCUUUUUCUAUAGGUUUUUUAAUCCUAUAGAAUUCUAUAAUAGGUAUACAAUUAUCUAAACAUUAUAUAGAAAAAUUCAAAAUACUUAUAAGAAGACUUACAAUUUUCUAAUAUAUUUGGAGGGACUUUUCAAUAAAGACAGUGAUUGAUUAUAAAAUUUUAAUAAU